rnacentral:lncRNA from 1 species
AUGUUAAAAUCCUCUGCUAAAGAAAACGUCUUUACUGGAAGUCUUACGCUUGCAUUACUGAGAAUUGAAUGUGGAAACCAAUUUUACAUGGAAAUCAAAUACUUCCUCUUUGAGUGGCAGCUGUAUAUGCCCAUUUGGGAGAUCCUGGCUGCUCAGAGAAAAAUUCCAGUUACAGCAAUGAAURUACUUGAUAUAUCUGGGAAGCCAGGAAAGAAAGCACGUAAAGAUCGGUGCUCAACACUAAGUCAUAACAGUAYCUGUAAAACCGUGCUACACUGUUGGAAGCUGAAGUUUGAGAGCAAGAACAAUCCCAAACCAGAGUUCAGGAUCCUCGCUGGGCAAGACAAGAACACCCAAAUAAGUCCUUGCUGCAGCCACUGUGCAGUUAAAUUCACAAAAGCAGCAAGUGAAGAUGAAGUGGCCAGAAAGGAAACUGAGGCACAAAGUGAUUUCCCCCUGCCACCCCUGCAGAAGAGCUCCAUGCAGCUUUCCCUGUGUCCUCCUCCCCAYUGCUCUAAGCCAACGGGACUGUUAGCAGCACCGGCUCAAGGCGCCAGAGCAAAGAUGCAAGGACAAAACRAUCCGACGGUGCAAGGCCCUGCCGAGAGGGCAGCUGAGACACAGAGUGGGUCAGUGUGGGGCAGAUGCACGGACGAUAGGGCCACAGCUUCUUGCCAUGGGGCCCCUGCAGCUUGCUCAACCUGGAAGGACCUCCACUACCAGCGUUAUUUUCCCUACUUUUUUCCCCCCCAUCUUGCCCGCAUGCUAAGCUGGCCCUGUGGGGACYUCCGGGGAGUGAGGGCAAAUGCACACACAGCCUCGUGCGCAGCCACGCUGACUUUUAGGCAGAAAGCACCAAAAUGCUCAACAGAUGCGCGGAGGCACUCCCGCUCCAAGCCGGGGAGCUGGGCCUCGCCGGGCCAAGGCACAUGCUGCCAGAAAGCCUUCCCUUGCUUCUCCCUGCUCCAAGAAACACCUGAAGAUCUGGCUUUCACACGCACAUUUAGCAGCCUAGGUUCGAAGUACAGCCCUUGCUCGAACCACAGCUAUAAGGAUGGUCCAAAAUAUCCUCCAAGCCACGAAUAG